AUACGUAGGGGGCGAGCGUUGUCCGGAAUUACUGGGCGUAAAGCGCGCGUAGGCGGACAUUUAAGUCAGAUGUGAAAACUCUGGGCUCAACCGAGAGCAUGCAUCUGAUACUGGGUGUCUUGAGUGUAGAAGAGGAGAGUGGAAUUCCUAGUGUAGCGGUGAAAUGCGUAGAUAUUAGGAGGAACACCAGUGGCGAAGGCGACUCUCUGGUCUAUAACUGACGCUGAGGCGCGAAAGCGUGGGGAGCAAACAGGAUUAGAUACCCUGGUAGUCCACGCCGUAAACGAUGGGUACUAGGUGUUGGGGGUUUCGACGCCCUCAGUGCCGGAGUAAACACAUUAAGUACCCCGCCUGGGGAGUACGGUCGCAAGACUGAA
rnacentral:rRNA from 1 species